rnacentral:lncRNA from 1 species
UACCAUCUUCAGCUAAAGAAAAAGGAAGAUAUUGGGGGCAGUGGUCUGGGACUUCAGAGGGGAGGAAGAUAAUUUACAUGGAGACAGAAAUGCAAAUGUUUGUUAAACAAGUUUUGCUGGGCCCAAAAUGGACUUGUUGGUGCCUUUCUAUCACACCUACUUUACAUCAUACUAUAGCUAUCUUAUGGUAUUAGCUCCUUCCUGGAACAUGCCUUCUAUAUUAAAUUCUUUUAGGCAGUUUGGGGGAAGGUCAAUUGUUCUUCUUCAUUCAUCUGAGCCUCUAUUGUCUUUAGCUUGAAACAUUCCGCAUACCGCAGUGGCGCAUCUUGGGGCCGCCUGCCCCGAACCCCAUCCCCACUCAAGCUAGUUUGAGCAGAACACAACUUAAUAGAGGAUUGUAGGCAAGCCCUAGGAUCUCUUAGAGAACCAGAGAGGAGUUGUGAAGCCAACAACCAGGCCCAAACCACAUCUGGGAGCAGUUGCAGUGGGGACACCACUGCCACCCUCACUGGACCAUCACUGGGCACAGAUGGUGAACACGACUUCCAGGGUCACUGUCCCUGGAAACCAGAAGAUUCUGCUAUCGCCUUUGCCAGGGUGUAUUCAAUGUGGCACCUGCUUCACUGCGUCACUUCUUCUGAUUCAAAGUCUCGGGGGAGGAUGUUUGAUUGGAGGCCAACUCGAUGUCUAUGUCUUGGCUGCAAGGGAUGCUGGGAGAACACGUUUUUGGCUUCUGUUUUAUGGAGAUUCGUGUGUUGAAGCCCAAUGUGACUGUGUUUGGAGACAUGACCUUUACAGAAGUAAUUAAGAUUAAACGAGGUCAUGGGGUAGGGCUUUGACCCUACAGGGUUAGUGUCCUUAUCAGGAAAGAUACCAGAGAGGUCUCUAUCUCCGCCCUGUGAGGAUACAGUGUGAAGGCACCAUCUGCAAGCCAGGAACAGGACCCUUCCCAAGGACGAAUCUUCUAGCACUUGAUUGUGGACUUCCCAGCCUCCAGAACUGUGAGUAAAAAAGUUCUGGUGUUUAGGCCCCCUAUACUGUGGUAUUUUGUUAUGGCAGCCUGAGCUGACUCACAUGUGUCCUGUACCUGUCUGGUUAUCAAGAAAGAAAGCAAAUUGUUUUCCCAGUUCUGAGCUCUGAGAGUAACCCAGCCUGCAGGUUACUCAGAUAAGAGACAUUGAACAAUAUAUUAACAUUUGAUAGCAGUUUCUCAAAACACAUAAAGAUGACCUUGUACCAGCUCAUUAAAAAAAGCUGAUGCCUGAAUGUUAAAUCAUAGUUCUUUGAAGAGAGUUUGGGGACCAAGUCAUAGCAUACUGGUUCUCAGCUUCCUGGCAAUGGGACGGGAAGAGAGACGUGUAGCAGUCAGCUGUGAAGUGGAGUUCCUGGCAGUGUCCAGGAAUUGGCGUCACUUUCAGGCCUUAUUUUCUGUGCAGCAGUCCACAAGUUGGAACACCCAUGACAGUAUGGGGGGUGUGUGUGAGUGAAUUUCACAUGUGCCAAAUGACAGCAAAGGGGGGAGCACAGCUUCAGAGAAUGUCUGAUCAGGGUCACAAAAGAAAAAAAUACCUUCAAGAGCCAGAUAGGUGGGGCUGUGUGUGGAAUGGGCCCAGAGGGUCAGAAGAGGGUAGCUGAGUUUUUCAGAAGCCAGUAGAUGCCCUGCAAGAAUAUUCUAAGUGUCAGAAAACACAGAAGGGCAGAAUUCAUCCAGAUGCCCUCCCCCAGGUUGCGGGCCUCACAAACUGCAGGACUGUUAAUCUCAGAUAUCAAUUAUCCCAUCCAAAAUCAUAACUAACCUCUCAAAUGAAGAUGGUUGGUGAGUACUGAAGUGCGGGUAACGUCAAAACACUUAACGUCCACAAAGCAAUUCUUUAAAAUAGUAACGCCCGUACCAGGACAUUGUCACAGGAGUUCGGAGAGAGGAUAACCCUCCCACUGUGACAGGGUGCAGUUUUCUUUUUCUUUUUCAUUUGCUCGGGCUUGUUUCCCAGCCAUGUGUCCUUCAGCGGGGUUUCUAAAUGGGUUAACAACACCCUCCCUCGAAGUGCUUGGUCAGGAUAUUUGUCGCUUUUUUGCAGCCAUGGAAAAUGCACACAGGGAUUGAAAGGCCCAGUUCAUGCAACAUUGCUCAAAGGAUUUGAGGAUUCCAUUACUGCACAAAUCCUUUAAUUAAAGCCAGUUCCUCCAGGCCCCUGUUGCCCGGGCCCAAUCCACAGCGUCCCUGGCGACCUUGGGAGGGUUGAUUAAUUGACGAGUUGGCAGUGCAACCAUUCCUUCAAAGAUCCCAAGAUAUAUCUGCUAAAACAAAAAUGCCCCCGGACACCAUAUGGUCCCUUGUUUGCAGUGGCUCUUAAAAUUUAUCUGCAACUUCUCCCCCGUGUGACUAAUGCCUGCUGCCUUCUACUCAGUGGCUGUUUCGACCCAUCACCCUUCCUCUCUGAGGCAAAGGACUUUUCAGCAAGGAGGUAUUUUUGGAAACUCAAGAGGGCGUUUUUGCAAUGUGGCAAUAGGAGGGAACAUUCUCCACUGGGCCCGAGUCACUGUUGCUAUCAAAGUGGCCAGAUUUUUGAAAAAUAUCUCUGCUUUGGCUUUUCAGGCACUCAGCAAUAAACAGCUAUAUCUGGGAAGCACCAGCAUCUAGAUUCUGCUUAUCAGAAGAGUGAAUUGAAGGGAAACUGGAUGGCAUAGAAAAGUCAGGCGGGAGCAUUUUCCAUGGCAACUCUCUGGGUGACUCUAAAUGCUUCUUCUUUAUGAUUCUGAGUAGCCCCCUUUGCCUGUGUCAGCACCCUGUGGAGAACACUCUGGUAAAACUGAGUUCUGAUUCAUCUUUUGAGAAACUCGAGAAAUGAGAGAAUUCAACCAAAGGCAAACUUUUUAAAUUGUCUAAAGCAGAGUAGACCUUGUAAAUUUAUUCAUCUGAGCAUGAUGAUGGUCGGGCAUGCAUAUUUGAGAGAAGCAGCUUGAUAAAAGCGGUAUGACGGAAGGAGAAGAAUUUGGAGUUCCCAAGGCAAUCCUGGAGGGAAGAGGUGAGAGGGUGAGGGAGGGGAGGAAGAAGCAGGAGGAGGCAGUCAAGGAGGCAGAAGUCUCUACGGUUAUGUUACUCUUGCCUCUGAACCACACCCCUCCAUCUUCAGAAAAGCCUGUCAACUCAGGUGCUUUUUAAAAAAGCCAAAUAGACUCCAGGGCCCCAUGUGGUCCAGUCUCAAGCUGGUCUCGUGGACAAAGUAAUGCAGUCCACAAGCUGAAAUUAAUAGCUAAUUCCAAACUUUACUUGAACGUCUGUAAUAACGUAAAAGGAAGUGUAGUAAAUAAACCACAUGAGACGGAGUAUAAAGCAGGGCUGAGAGCCUGGGGUCUGGGCCAGACAGCUUGAGUUUGAGUUCUGGUUCUGCCCCUCAUAUGCUGUGAGAUCUUCGGUGAGUCACUAAACUUCUCUAUGCUUUAGUUCCCCCAUCUGUAAAAGGAAGAUGAUUAUAGUAUCUACUUAUUAGGGUGGUGAUGAGAAUUAAAUGAGUUACUAUUUGUCAGGACCUCAACACAGCACCUGACACAUGGGAUGAGCUACAUAAAUAUUCGUUAAAUAAAUAACUGAAUCUUAGGAUCUGCUUUCUCUAACUCUCAACACGAAAGGGUGUUUCUAGUUUUCCUCUCUCUGCCUUUUGUUUUCAUGACUUUUCCACUCUUUUCUUUUACUCUUUCUCUUUAAGAAAAGUCUGCAUUUUCUAAUGCAAUCCCCAACCUUUGAUUCUCCAUCUCCCCCACCCUGGGAGCACCCAGAUCUCCACACCAGGGGCCAAGAGAGGGCUUGGAGAGGAGAAGACAGGAAAAUGCAGAGGAGACCACAUCAGAAUUUGCCCUGCUAACCCAGGAUGGGGGAGUAGGAGAAGAGCCAUGAAUUUGCAUUUUUGGAUUAUACUUUUCUGUUAUAUUUGAUGUGAAUGACCUUCGAGGGAGAAUGCAAGGAAGCCACUAAGUUUCAUAUCAGGUGGCAGGUCUAAGUCAGCAUGAGAAAGCGUGGAAAGUGUAGGUGACCACAAGAACCCAAGGUCACUUGAGAAUUCACAGAAUCCUUGGCAACUUUUGACUUCCACAGGCUCUGGAAAUGUAGGAAGUGUGAUCCAAUUUCUUUAACAUCUUGAGAGGUGGGAAAUAUGAAGUACUAUUCAGAAUAUGGAAAAAUGAAGAAAUGGGUUUCUUUUGAAGGGAGAUAAACAUUUAUCAGAACCCUUAUAACAAGUGGGAGAGGAUUCGUGGUGUUCAAGAACUUAAUCUAUUGUACAGGAGGAAGGACAUUUAUUAGGUUAAAUAAUAAGUACACAAAAUGUAUUUGGUAUACAUACGAUGGUAUACCUACAUACAAUCAUUUUUACACACAAAGAACCAUAUGCUUAUAUAUGUGGAAAUGAAUACAUUCAAUAAGUGGAUUAGAAGAGUAUGUUUAGCUAAAAAGACAUAUGAGUAAUAUAGUGAAAACGUAUGAUUCUACAAUCUGAAAACUCACAAAAUGAAGUAAAUUAAGGAUGCGGCUGGAGACUGGUAUCAGUUAAGGAUGGAUGGCCCCAGCUUCUCUCUUGGUUACCCUGGUAAAUAGACUUCUCUGCUCAUGCUAUCGAUAUUAUAAUGAGCAAAACCACAUGCAAAUAAAGUAGAUGGAAAGGGUGGGAGAAGACAAGAGGGUGAAUGACUUGCCCAAGACAUAGAGUAGUAAGCUUGGAGUUCAUAUAACUAUUGCUUCUUCCUCUGGCCUGAUCAAAACCAAGGUAAAGAAACCAAGCGUUGGUGUCUCCCACAUUGCCUGCCCCUCUUCUUUGUUACCACAGCUAGGUUGACGUGUCUAUAGACCAAAGGGUGGCAGAACAUCUUCUCCUGGUGGGUUUGAGGGGUAGGUGGGAAUGCCUGCAAAUGUGAGCCUUGAUUGCCUUCCCUCACCCUGGACAAGACUACCCAGGAUGGCAAAGUGGACCCAACUUACAACUCAUAUGGAUUUCUGUGGAUAGGAAAAAAAUACUGUGAACAAGCAUAGAGGAUAGAAUUUUACAACUGGCAGUCAUUCUCCCAGCUUCCCAUUGACUAUGCUCCCUGGGGAAGGGGAGAAUCCUUCCUCUGCCUGCGUGUGCAAACUCAGGUUGGUCCUAUUAGCUCGCUAGUCACUCACAGAUAAUAAAACAUUCUUUGGUCAAUUUUAGUCAUAAACACGGCAUCAAUUUUAGUAAUUUAAAAAUGUUCAGUCUCACUGAGGGGAAUGAUUACUCUCAUUUUUUUCAGGUAAGAAAAUUAAAGUUUAGAGAGAAUAAUUGAUUUAAUAAAGUUCCCAGAGGUAGAAAGUGGGGAAGCCAGGAUUCAAGCCCACGGCCCACGUCAGUGUCGCUCUGCAGCUCACACUUUCUCCUCUCCUUCCAAUCUGUUUAUCUACCCUUGAGUGACUGAUGAGUGAAGGACUGAAAAUGGUUGCAUCCCAGUUUCUUAGCAGGUCCUACGUAGGUGAUGUUCUUAGAGGCAGAACUCUGAGAUCACAUGAAAAGUACCACUUACCAUUCUGUCCCUCUAGGAAGAGAGGGGAAUUAUUUACAGCAGGGUUUCUUAACCUGCAGUCCAUGAAUGAUCUGGUGGAAAGAUAAAUAUUUUUCUUUAGAUCAUUUUUUGUGUCACUUUGUAAAUUAUCUUUGUGAAAAUAAUAUGUUUUUUCUAAAUGUAAAAAUAUUUUUGAUGAGUGGUUUCACUGCAAACAUGUGUAGGAUGGAAAGGAUGUUACUGUACAUGGUGGGUAAUAGACACUCUAGUGAUUACUCCGACUUCCUGUUGGCAAGAGGACUGUCCCACUGAGAGAAAUGGAUGACAAUCCCCCUACCUUUGUGAAUUUGCCCUCCUGUCUUUCUUACCUCGGGCCUAGCUUAAGUGGGAAGAUAUCAAUAAAAAGAAAUGAUGUCUAAAUUUACACGUAUCCUUUGUUUUGAUUUUUAUCAAUGAUCCUGAUCAGGACCAACCCCCGUGACCCACUCCCCCACAAAAGCUGCAGUGCUUAUUGUAUGGCAAAAUUGUGUCUGUCUAUCCCGAAAAUACAUUAGACAAGGCAGACAUUUUUCCUGAGAAGGCUUGAUUUUAAAAGGCUGGAACUGUAUUUAAACUUCUG